ensembl:misc_RNA 7SK 7SK RNA
GGAUGUGAGGGCGAUCUGGCUGAGACAUCAAACCUGGUUUGCUAGGUUUGAUCUGGCUGAUCUGGCUGGCUAGCCUCGUGCCCCACCCUCAGCUCUGCAUGUGCAUCUCUCCCAAAGCUGUGCUCUGGGUUGAAGAGGAUGGUCGCUCCUGGUAGAGGGGACCAUUUCCUUGGUCAAGGGUACAUGAGCAGCUGUGCUCCCCUGCUAGAAUUUCCAAACAAGCUCUCAAAGAAAUAACAUGAAGAAUAGAAAGUGGGAUUCUAUCAUAUUAAAAAGCUACUGU